ACAAAUUUUGAAAUUAUAAAUUCAUAAUUACUGGUAGUAAUCCAUAGCAUAGCAUGACCAAGGCACCAAAGAUGCCCCCAAGCUGUGAAUGAUGACAUGUAUAUCUCAGAAUGAAAGAUCACAUGUGACACUGGUACAGAGUAAAUGCCGUGCUUGUGAAUUAUGUACAAUACUGUACUGUUUGUGUGUGGCUUUUUUAUAUGUGUAUGUAGGCUGAGAAGAGAGUAAAAUAGUAGAGAAAGUUCAUUCAUUAUUCUGUAAAUUGGUGAACUCUUUGCAAUGUUACAUUUUGUCUGAACAAUGCAAGUGUUAAUUUUCAUCAUAUUGUUGCAUUUAUUUAUCAGUUGUAAAACAUAAACAAUACAUCAAUGCCAUCAUAUGGUAUGUGAAGGUACAUGUAUCAAGUUUGAGUAAUUUGGAAGUUGUUGCAUGCCAUUUUUAUGGAGAAUCUGAAAAGACAUAAUAAGUGUAUAUUUUCUCACUAAUUUAUAGUUUUAAUAUUGCAUGAAAAACGAAAAAAUUAAAGGACAUGUAAUUCAAGUGAUUAAAUCAUCUUUGAAUGUUUUCCAAUAUUUUGAAACAAACAUUUGAGGAAUACAUUCUGUUGGUGAUAACUUUUAUGCCUUCAGUUUCUGCAUUGAAAUUUUGUUUACUAUUUGCUUGCUGUAUAAUUUUUGUUUACAAAUAGAAAGAAAGAAAUUG
rnacentral:misc_RNA from 1 species